rnacentral:lncRNA from 1 species
ACGCUUUGACCAUCUACCCUGUCUCCUAACCCCCAUCCUUCUUAGGCCUGGCAGAAUUUGGCUCUUAACCUUUUCAUGGCCUGGGCCAAGACAAAUCUUGAUUUUUUUUUUUGUUUUGUUUUGUUUUGUUUUUUUUUUUUUUUUUUUUCCCAUUUGUAAAGUAGGAGAUAAUUGCAAAGUAGGGAGUUUAUCUCUGAAUGGAACUGAAAUAUGACUAUGACUAGAAACUGCUACGGUUAGCUACUUUGCUUUAGCUAUAAAGCAAUAUUUCAUUUAGUAAUUUAAUUAACAAUGGGAUAUUCAUUUAUCAGGGUGACUCUGCUUGGGACUGUAUGUGGGGAAGAGACAGAGAUGUGGGGCUGCAGCUGGGGAGCUCCUGCCUACCUGCAGGGCUCGGGUGGUGGGAUCUUGCGAGGCGCCAACCCAAGCAUUCCUGUGCAGUACCUGCUCCACCCUCCUUCCCCUUCCAGAACCCCAUCUGCCAAACACAAUUUGUCGUCAGUCUAAACAUGUGUAUCUGAUGUUGGAUCCUGGAGCUGGCACGAAGCUGAGGAGCUGUUGUGUGGUCGCCUGAGACUGAAGCACCGCACUGAAGAGAGAGGGAGGGAGCCAGAUGGAUGUCUUGUGCGUGAAGUAUGAAGCUUGACAAGUCUGGCAUUACACACUCUGAUACUACAUUUGACUGAGUCAGCUUUUGAUCUGAGUUACACCAUGAUAAAUCUAUGUAACUCCACUGAGGUUUACUUAACAAAGUUAAGUAUUAAGGUUUAUGUUAGUCGAGUUACUCUGUGUUUUACCGGAUGCAACUAAGAUCAAAAUCCUCUCUGAAUUAUAUUGGUUUUAAUUUUAAGCAAUCAAAAUUUAAACAACAAAUUCUGCAAGUGUGUGGAAUGUUGAAAAGACAAACUCUCUUUUCACUUAUAUCUGUCUAAGCUGAGCACUUAGGAUUUGAUACAGGUUCAGUUAAGACUGAAUGUGUCCGUAGAUGUGUAUUUUAAACAAGACUCAAACUGUGGUUUGGUGAGUCUCACCUCAGACUAUAGCUUAACAAAAACUUUUCCUGUCUUUUAGUAACCACUUUCCACCUCCUAUUGCU